rnacentral:tRNA from 1 species
UGUAGCUCAGUGGCACAGCACCUGCCUGGCAAGCACAAGGCCCUGAGUUCGAUUCCCAGUA